rnacentral:ncRNA from 1 species
UUAAUCUUUGUAUAAGAUUGAACAUCUGAAAUACUUUUAUGUCCUAUAUAAGAGGAGGACUGUAAGGAUUAGAAUUGAAGAAAGUAAUGGUUUGUAUGUCUUCAGAAUGAGUAAAGGUAAGUGUAAGUAAUGUGCCAGCACAUGCGGUUAAACAUUCUUUCCAUCAGAUUGGAGGUAGUUUAGUCAGACUAUGAAUUUAAGUUUAAUUAAUCGUGGAGAUUUUUGGGUAAAAUCGAUCAAUCGAUCUAAAGGUCAUAGUAGUUGUUAUAGUCUUUGAUAAAGACCAGGAUUAGAUACCCUGUUAUGAUAGAAUAAUAAGACUAAUAUAGAGUAUACAUGGCGGUCUAUUAUCCAACUAGAGGGAUAUGUGUAGGAAGUGAAUUUACGCAUUAGACUCUUCUUUAUUUGGAAAUAGUCAUUUAGUUCAUUGCUGUCUGAAAUUUCUAGGAUAAGAUAGAAUUUUCAUUUAUUGAUAAAACUUAAGGCAAGUUAGAUGCUGACGAUGAUAACGAAUACAUGUAUUCCAAUUUUAAUAAUUGAUGAGAUAGAGAAAUCGAUCAAUGAUAGAGAAUUUAGAAGUAAGUGCAGUUGAUUAUACUAUACUGAAUAGGGUAUUUUAGACGUACAAAUUGCCCGUCACUCCUAUAAAAGGAGAAGUCGUAACACAGUUGAUCUACUGGAAAGUGGAUCAGGAUAAAA